rnacentral:lncRNA from 1 species
GAGUCAAUUUCUUUCACCGAUAGUUAAUUUUAUUGUUUCGCCAUUUUUAGUGUCAUUUCUAUUUUUUCUCAUUUUAUGCUUUGGUUGUGUGCAUUUUUCGCGUUUCAGGUCCAAGCAGGUAGUCAAGUACGAUCGAAUAUAGAAACCAAGGAGAAGAUAAAAUAAUCUGAAAGAUGUUUUCAUGGUCCAGUAGGUCUGCUACAGGCCGAGCAGGAAGUCCUGAAGCAAAUGAUACAACCAUCCAAACAUGGGCAUACUACGACCACCCGUAUCACCUACUACGGGCCGUAGUGGGAGGUCUGAAACAGAAGCAGAAUCCACAAGAAACAGUGACCUGCUAUGGCCACCCGUAGCACCGACUACGGGCCGUAGCAGUCAUGCGUGAAAAAGUCCAAUUUUGUCUUUUCUGUUGUUAUUCUUAAGUGAGGGGCAUUUUGGUCAAUUGGGAAGCGGAUGUGAUGGACUAUUGUGGUUCUGUUCAAGGAGAGAGAGGACUUUUCUAUAAAAAUGGGAGUUUUCAAACAAGAAAAAGACUUUUGAGAAGCAAGAAUUCAGACGAUUCAGAAUUAGAGAAAUCAAGGUUUUGGGAGAAACGAGAUUUUUCAUGAGCGGAAGCAAUUGAAGAUCAAAGUUCAUCUGAAUACUUAUAAUGUCUCCAUUUUAUAGUUUGUUUUCUUUGAAUACUAUGAGUAGCUAAACCCCCCAAUGCUAAAGGGUGUCCCUGAUUUGAAUCUGUAAUGACUUUGAGGUUAUGCUUGCAAUGACAAUAUUGUUUUUCAUAAU